rnacentral:lncRNA from 1 species
AGAGGAUUUUAUUAUCUUUUCUUUUCCUUCCUGACAGCUCGAGUGCCAAGGUAGCUCAGGUAGAAAGCUGCAAACCGCAGGAAUUAAUCUUUGCGGACAAAGGCUUCCCUGCUAAGGACUGGUCUGGAUUCGAGGAUGCACUUGAAGCUGCAGGCUGUAUGUGAGCAGAGGCACUUCCAGACAGGUUGCCGAGGGCAAGACAGGUCUUCAAAGCACUGAAGGAGGAGAAAUAGUUGCCUUCACUCUGGCCACAUUCUCACAAGGAGAAAAGACAGACGUGAGUAUUCAAAGC